GCAUAGCUCUGCUUUUCCCUGACAUGCCCCUCUGUGGAGCUCUUCAGUCACUGUUUCUUAUAUCAUUCAUAAUUGUCAUUUUGUCAAUGCAACCUAUUGUUUUUAUAGCAGUGUUAUGUUACUUCAUUGUAACAUUGUUUUAUUGCUAUAUCCUGAUACUGUAUUCUAAUUACAAAUAUUUCCUCUUUAUUCUGUACUUUCAGGAACCAACCACACAAACAGCAUUGAACCUUAUUUGACAACAUCAUGACUAGAACUGGAUAUCUUUCUUGCAGAAGAUUGAGGCCAACUUUAGUAUUGAAGCAAUUGAAGUAUUGGUAGAGGUUGAACAACAAAAACUAAAACUAGGUUUACUAGAGGUAAAAAAACAGCAAGAAAAGACUGACAACUUAUUAACAUGCAUAACUUAUAUUUCUGUAUUCAUAUGGUGAUUGAACAACAACUGCUUUUCCACCCCACAGCCCCAAUGGCUUAGUACCUGUUAAGUCAGUCAGUCAGUCAGUCAGUCAGUAAUUGCUGCAGAUGUGCUCAGUAGUGCUUAAGCAUAAGGUACUCCCCAAAGCAUGGCACAAUACACAAGGGUGUGUCACAAACUAAAAACAAACUCCUCUGCUUCCUUCUCCUUGUGCCGGACAGGUAGACUUUGCAUUGCCUCUGUGUGCGACUGCCUUGAGCAGCAGCCUGCGGGACUUUGCAGGGAAAUGUCGUGCAGUGAGGCGUAGGGGAUUGUCUGCAGCAGGACGACCCUCAGUGGAUGGACGCCGAGGGGUGUGGUGCUCCUCCAGCAGCUUUCUCAUGAGAUUCUUUCUGUACUUUUGGUGGUCCCCUUUCCCUGUGGCCGACCUGGUUACUCUAUGGACAGUGGACAGGACAUGGACGUCUCGUUUGUCAUGCCACUUUACUGCCAGCCGUAACAUCAGGGACUAACUAACUAACUAACGUGCUUCUACAUCUGCAUUGCUUGCUGUUUGGGGUUUAAGACUGGGUUUCUGUGUAGCACUUUGUGACAUCUGCUGAUGUAAAAAGGCCAUUAUAAAUACAUUUGAUUGAUUGAACUAAUGCAGCAGCAUAGGUGACUUCACGUAGGCGGUUAAGAGAACGAGGUUAAGAAAAGGGUUAGGCUUAGCAACAAUCCAAGGGGCCAGGGUUCCAGUCUUGAAGCACGAUUUUGACUGCUCCUACAGUUUUGCUUUGGUACUGCAAUUUAACUGACUCCCGGCCCAGAAAGACAAUUUCCAUACACGGCUACAUAGAGAAGUCAGAUUUGAAAAUUCCUAAUAAGACACUUAUAACAUCCAUUGAAUUAUUGAAAUUGAAUCACUCCCAGCCAAAGAUAUUAGCAUUUUAUAUUCAUUCAAUGCCUGCCAUGUUUUUGGAUGAUGUGAUGAUGACUUCGUUGCUUCUCCCUGUGUGCAGUGAGUGCUACAGUAGUGCACAUGUGAUGUUGGUCCUUAUUAACCGGAUGCAAAAGGGGAGGGUGGUGCAACUCAAUAUUAGGAAGAUGUUCCUAAUAUUUGGUAUACUCAGUGUAUAUACUGUAUUCUAGUCAAGGCUCAUCCUAUAUACUGGAACUACUGCUCUACAGACUUGUUCUAUUUAUAUACUGUCCAUAAUAUUCUAGUGUCAAAAUUGUGAAGUGUAAAUAGUAUAAUUUGGUCAUAAAGUCAGUCUUGUCCAAAAAGGAGAUGAUAGGAAAAUGUAUGUAACAGAAUGAAGGGUACAUAACAGUUUUCUGUGGGCUGGGUUUAUUUUAUUCCUACCCACAUGCCCACAGCUGGCAAGUAAUCAUCAAUUCGGAACGCAGCUGCACAGGACACGAUCUUAAUGCUCAUGGUCAAUUUGGUUUGACAUUCGAUAUCCCUAUGGGGCUAUUUGUACAUCCCACUGGGCACACACUGGUUGAAUCAAUGUUGUUUCCAUGUAAUUUCAAUUAAAUUACAUUGAACCAAUGUGGAAUUGAUGUUGAACUGAUGUCUGUGCCCAGUGGGAUGGGGCAAUAUUUUAAAAGGUUAACAGCUCCAACUUUCUAUGACUUAAAAACCUCAAACCAACUUUAAAUUCAAGGAAGUCAUACACAUAUUGAAAGCAUUUAAUGAGACAACUGAAAGAUGUGCAUUUACAUUGUGCAAUUUAUUGACAGUCCCUAACUAUCCCCAGAGAGAGGCUAUCCAAAGUCAAACCAAUUUUGCCACGGUUGCACACCAGCCCUUUGAAGAUAAUUGGCGAAAUAAUUUGGCUAACUCUUCCCACCUGGGGAACACACAGAAGAGACACCCAUAUCAAAACACACCCCAAAACGAACUCACGUUUGAAUUCAGUCAUGGUCGCCAGCUUUAAAAAAAAUCUAAGACGUGGCCAAAUGAGGAAUUACAGUCGCCCUUUAACAAUUUACACGGACAUUUUUCAAAAACAUAUUUACUGGAAGAACUGUGCAGAUGCAAAGUUAGGUCAAAUAAUUUCUGUAAAAUAACCCUGUUUUUUAUGUGACCACGUUAUCCAAAAAACUCAGUUAAAUAUCUGCUCAAAAGGGCCUCCCGGGUGGCGCAGUGGUUAAGGGCGCUGUACUGCAGCGCCAGCUGUGCCACCAGAGACCCUGGGUUUGCCCCCAGGCUCUGUUGUAACGCGACGCACAAAUGGCCUAGUGUCAUUUGCACCUAGUGCACGGUGCACUCCGACACAUUGGUGUGGCUGGCUUCUGGGUUGGAUGUGCGCUGUGUUAAGAAGCAGUGCGGCUUGGUUGGGUUGUGUAUCGGAGGACGCAUGACUUUCAACCUUCAUCUCUCCCAAGGCCUUACAGGAGUUGUAGCAAUGAGACAAGAUAGUAGCUACUAACAAUUGGGGUAAAAAGAAAAUCUGCUAUGUACUAAGAUUCAAAGAUGUCUGCAGCAACAGCUUUAAAAAAAAAAAAACAUGUUUUUAUUGUCACAUACACCGGAUGUCGGCUCGGGUAUUCGAACAACAGCAGUACCCGCAGAACACCAGUCUCAAUGUCAACAGCAAAGAGGCGACUCCGGGAUGCUGGCCUUCUAGGCAGAGUUGCAAAAAAGCCAUUUCUCAGACUGGCCAAUAAAAAUAAAAUAUUAAGGGGGGCAAAAGAACACAGACACUGGACAGAGAAACUCUGCCUAGAAGGCCAGCAUCCCGGAGUCGGCUCUUCACUGUUGACGUUGAGACUGGUGUUUUGCGGGUACUAUUUUAUGAAGCUGCCAGUUGAGGACUUGUGAGGCAUCUGUUUCUCAAACUAGACACUCUGAUGUACUUGUCCUCUUGCUCAGUUGUGCACCGGGGCCUCCCACUCCUCUUUCUAUUCUGGUUAGAGACAGUUUGCGCUGUUCUGUGAAGGGAGUAGUACACAACGUUGUACGAGAUCUUCAGUUUCUCACAUGGAAUAGUCUUCAUUUCUCAGAACAAGAAUAGACUGACGAGUUUCAGAAGACAGUUCUUUGUUUCUGGCCAUUUUGAGCCUGUAAUCAAACACACAAAUGCUGAUGUUCCAGAUACUCAACUAGUCUAAAGAAGGCCAGUUUUAUUGCUUCUUUAAUCAGACCAACAGUUUUCAGCUGUGCUAACAUAAUUGCAAAAGGGUUUUCUAAUGAUCAAUUUGCCUUUUAAAAUGAUAAACUUGGAUUAGCUAACACAACAUGCCAUUGGAACACAGGAGUGAUGGUUACUGAUAAUGGGUCUCUGUAAGCUUAUGUAGAUAUUUCAUUAAAAAUCUGCCAUUUCCAGCUAAAAUAGUCAUUUACAAUAUUAAUGUCUAUGCUGUAUUUCUGAUAAAUUUGAUGUUAUUUUAAUGGACAAUUUUUGCUUUUAAUUAAAAAAUAAAGACAUUUCUAAGUGAC